rnacentral:rRNA from 1 species
CUCCUACGGGAGGCAGCAGUGGGGAAUAUUGCACAAUGGGCGCAAGCCUGAUGCAGCCAUGCCGCGUGUAUGAAGAAGGCCUUCGGGUUGUAAAGUNCUUUCAGCGGGGAGGAAGGGAGUAAAGUUAAUACCUUUGCUCMUUGACGUUACCCGCACAAAAAGCCCCGGCUAACUCCGUGCCAGCAGCCGCGGUAAUAC